GAUGAACGCUGGCGGCGUGCCUAAUACAUGCAAGUCGAGCGAACAGACGAGGAGCUUGCUCCUCUGACGUUAGCGGCGGACGGGUGAGUAACACGUGGAUAACCUACCUAUAAGACUGGGAUAACUUCGGGAAACCGGAGCUAAUACCGGAUAAUAUAUUGAACCGCAUGGUUCAAUAGUGAAAGACGGUUUUGCUGUCACUUAUAGAUGGAUCCGCGCCGCAUUAGCUAGUUGGUAAGGUAACGGCUUACCAAGGCAACGAUGCGUAGCCGACCUGAUAGGCGGAUCGCCCACCCUGGAACUGAGACAGGGUCCAGACUCCUACGGGAGGCAGCAGUAGGGAAUCGUCCGCAAUGGGCGAAAGCCUGACGGAGCAACGCCGCGUGAGUGAUGAAGGUCUUCGGAUCGUAAAACUCUGUUAUUAGGGAAGAACAAAUUUGUAAGUAACUAUGCACGUCUUGACGGUACCUAAUCAGAAAGCCACGGCUAACUACGUG
rnacentral:rRNA from 1 species